rnacentral:lncRNA from 1 species
AUGCCUGUAGGCGGAAGGCCAAAAAAGGGCAUUGAGGGAGUUAGGCCGGUUCAGUCGGAGUGUGCUCCUAGGUUUUCUGACUUUUCUUAAAGUAAAUGAUGAGAAAUUUUUUUUUUAUCUCAAAAUACCAUUAGAAAGGAAAGUCCCAACGCUCGGAAGCUUAGUUGACAAAGAAGGGGGUUGCGUGGCUGCGAGUCUCAACUACUGUUUGGGAGCCCCAAAACCAGUGCUGACACCCGCGCCCCACGAGCGCGCAAUUCCUCCCCUGGUAGGUAACGCGGAAGAACCGGGAGGGUGGCGGCCUCAGGGCACAGGAGCUCGGCUACCGAAAACCAGAAUGGUUACGCGUUGUAGACGGAAGCCUGCAGUCUCAGCAUCCAGACUGGAGGCAGUAAAGAUUGCUGCAAGUUCGAGGCCAGUGAGCUCCAGGCCAGGCUGAACCACAGAAUGAGCUCCAAACCAGCAUGGGUUAAGCGAGUUGAAGACCAGCCUGAGCUACUGAAUAAGUUUGAGGGUAGCUUGGGUUACAGAGUGCAUUCGAGGCCAGCCUGGGCCACACAGUGAGUUGAAGACCAAUCAUGGCUACAUAGCAAGUUCGAGGACAGCCUAUGCUCCAUACUAAGACCCUGUCUCAAAACAUCCAUAAAAACAAUGUAGAAAAGACAAAGCAGAAGAAGCGACAGCAGCUGGGAGAAGACUCUGGAAAUGAGCUCAGGAACUGCACUGUAUGCGCAGGCUGGAUCAUGGGAACCCCGAAACCGCUGAUUUUGCCUUGGCUGGUGUCUCAGCUGGACCUGGGACAGCUGAAAGGUGUGGCCUGGCUGGACGAGAGCCGUACAAAGUUCAGGAUCCCAUGGAAGCAUGGCUUACGACAGGACGCACAGAUGGCUGACUUUGGCAUCUUCCAGGAGGAGCAAGGGACUUUGUACAUCUGGACACCUCCCCUGACACCAAUGGCAAAAGCAGUCUGUCUGAUCACCAGGAAGACCUCUUGGAAUUACUCGAUCACAUGGCCUUGGGACCCCUCCCAGAUGAGGGGUCCUCAGACCUGCCUAUUGCUUCUGAUCCUUCUCAACCACCACUAAGCCCCAUUGUAAACAACUUCCCAAACCCAGCACCCCAGGAAAACCCACUAAGGCAGCUGCUAGCUGAGGAACAGUGGGAGUUCGAGGUGACUGCCUUCUACCGAGGCCGCCAGGUCUUCCAGCAGACACUCUUUUGCCCCGGGGGCCUGCGGCUGGUGGGCAGCACGUCUGACAACGGGACACUGCCCUGGCAGCCAGUCACCCUGCCAGACCCUGAGGAGUUUCUGACAGACAGGCUUGUGAGGGAGUAUGUGAGGCAGGUACUCAAGGGGCUGGGCAAGGGGCUGGUGCUGUGGCGGGCAGGGCAGUGCCUCUGGGCCCAGCGCCUAGGCCACUCGCAUUCCUUCUGGGCCCUGGGUGAGGAGCUGCUUCCAGACAGUGGGAGAGGGCCUGAUGGAGAGGUCCC